rnacentral:rRNA from 1 species
GAUGAACGCUGACAGAAUGCUUAACACAUGCAAGUCGAUUCAAUUUACCUUCGGGUAUUGAGGAUGGCGGACGGGUGAGUAACGCGUAAGGAACUUGCCUCUUGGUCUGGGACAACUGUUGGAAACGACAGCUAAUACCGGAUAUUAUGAGAUUCUCGCAUGAGAAACUUAUGAAAGCUAUAUGCGCCAAGAGAGAGCCUUGCGUUCCAUUAGCUAGUUGGUGGGGUAACGGCCCACCAAGGCGACGAUGGAUAGCCGGCCUGAGAGGGUGAACGGCCACAAGGGGACUGAGACACGGCCCUUACUCCUACGGGAGGCAGCAGUGGGGAAUAUUGGACAAUGGGCCACAAGCCUGAUCCAGCAAUUCUGUGUGCACGAUGAAGGUCUUCGGAUUGUAAAGUGCUUUCAGUUGGGAAGAAGAAAGUGACGGUACCAACAGAAGAAGCGACGGCUAAAUACGUGCCAGCAGCCGCGGUAAUACGUAUGUCGCAAGCGUUAUCCGGAUUUAUUGGGCGUAAAGCGCGUCUAGGCGGAAAAAUAAGUCUGAUGUUAAAAUGCGGGGCUCAACUCCGUAUUGCGUUGGAAACUGUUUUUCUAGAGUACUGNAGANGUGGGCGGAACUACAAGUGUAGAGGUGAAAUUCGUAGAUNNUUGUAGGAAUGCCGAUGGAGAANUCAGCUCACUGGACAGAUACUGACGCUAA